rnacentral:lncRNA from 1 species
CAGCAUUAGAAAACCCCAAUCAGGAGAGGGGAGAGAUUUGUCCAUCCAUAGUAGCAGUCAGCCAGAGUUCCAAUAAAUUGUUGAAUCUGUAAAGAGAAGGACUGACUGAUACUUCAAUACAAACCGUGAGUUCCUGGGAAUCUUAAAGAACUGAACAGCCUCUGCCUGAACGAAUCUUCUGGUUAAUACAUGUAAUCUUAUUGGUUGUGUCCACUCGGCCAAAAUAAGUGAAAAAGGUUUCUACUGACACAUUGCCAGGAAAGUGUACUGGAUAUAAGAGUGAAAUGAAAGGUCUGGACUCAAAUCAGUGCUUAGCUAUCAUGUUUACUUGAAACCUCAUCAGAUGGACAACAGAGGAGCUCCACUUUGUAGAGACGCAUGCGAAACCCAUCACUCCAUGCCCCGCAUUGCCUGACUCCAGCUGAGGAUGAUCAGAUGGGAAAAGCAUCGCUGACUGCUGUAAGGCUGCUCUGAAUCCCCUUCCAGGUGAGAAGGUUGGGAUACACAUAUGGAAAAUAAAUAAAUAAA